GUGGUGCCAUGCCCGUCGCCAGGUAUUUACGAGUAGGAUUGGCGAAGCCGCUGUCCGGAUCUUAUUUGGGCGGUAAAGCCGCCUCGCCAGUUGGUUCUUUUAUGUCGGAUGUGAAACCCCCCCCGGCCUUAACCGUGGAGGUCAUUGGAAAUGGAGGACUUGAGUGCAGAAAGAGGAGAAGUGGAAUUCCCAUGUGUAGCGGUGAAAUGCGUACGAGAUAUGGAGGAACACCAGUGGCGGAAGGCGACUUCUCUGGUCUGUUAACGGCCGCUGAGGAGAGAAAAGCGUGGGUAGCGAACAGGAUUAGAUACCCUGGUAGUCCACCGCCGUAACGAUGAGUGCUAGGGUGUUAGGGGGGUUUCCGCCCCCUUAGUGCCUGAAGUUAACGCAUUAAACACUCCCGCCUGGGGAGUACGGCCCCAAGGGCUGAAACUCAAAAGAAUUGACGGGGACCCCGCACAAGCGGUGGAGCAAGUGGUUUAAUUCGAAGCAACGCGAAGAACCUUACCAGGUCUUGACAUCCUUUCGACCUCCCUAGAGAUAGGGAUUUCCCUUCGGGGACGAAAGUGACAGGUGGUGCAUGGUUGUCGUCAGCUCGUGUCGUGAGAUGUUGGGUUAAGUCCCGCAACGAGCGCAACCCUUUAUCUUAGUUGCCAGCAUUAAGUUGGGCACUUUAAGGUGACUGCCGGUGACAAACCCGAGGAAGGUGGGGAUGACGUCAAAUCAUCAUGCCCCUUAUGACCUGGGCUACACACGUGCUACAAUGGAUGGUACAAAGGGCAGCGAAACCGCAAGGUCAAGCAAUCCCAUAAAACCAUUCUCAGUUCGGAUUGUAGGCUGCAACUCGCCUACAUGAAGCCGGAACGCUAGUAAUCGCGGAUCAGCCAUGCCGCGGUGAAUUACGUUCCCGGGUUCUUUGUUACCCACCCCCCCCCCGG
rnacentral:rRNA from 1 species